rnacentral:rRNA from 1 species
AGUGAACGCUGGCGGUAGGCCUAACACAUGCAAGUCGAACGGCAGCACAGUAAGAGUUUGCUCUUACGGGUGGCGGGUGGCGGACGGGUGAGGAAUGAAUCGGAUUCUACUUUUUCUUGGGGGAUAACGUGGGGAACCUUCCGCUAAUACCUCAUAUGACGUACGGGUGAAAUCAGGGGUUCUUGGGACCUUUGGUGUCAGAUUUAGCCCUUUCCGGAUUAGCUAGUUGGCUGGGUAAGGGCCCACCAAGGCGACGAUCCGUAGCGGGUCUGAGAGGAUGAUCAGCCACACUGGAACUGAGACACGGUCCAGACUCCUACGGGAGGCAGCAGUGGGGAAUAUUGGACAAUGGGCGCAAGCCUGAUCCAGCCAUACCGCGUGGGUGAAGAAGGCCUUCGGGUUGUAAAGCCCUUUUGUUGGGAAAGAAAAGCAGCAGGUUAAUACCCCGCUGUUCUGACGGUACCCAAAGAAUAAGCACCGGCUAACUUCGUG